rnacentral:rRNA from 1 species
GAUGAACGCUGGCGGCGUGCCUAAUACAUGCAAGUCGAGCGAAGCGGGGACGGGUGAGUAACACGUGGAUAACCUCCUAUAAGACUGGGAUAACUUCGGGAAACCGGAGCUAGACCGGAUGCUUAUAGAUGGAUCCGCGCUGCAGUGGCUCGUUGGUAAGGUAACGGCUUACCAAGGCAACGAUGCAUAGCCGACCUGAGAGGGUGAGCGGGCACACUGCAACACAGACACUGUGCAAAGUCCUAGAGUACGACGGAGUGGAGAAUCGGCCGCUAUUGGCGAAAGCCCGACGGACCAACGCAGCGUGAGUGAGUGAGGUCUUCGGAUCUUAGAACUCUGAUAUUAGGGAAGCGGUACCUAAUCAGAAAGCCACGGCUAACUACGUGCCAGCAGCCGCGGUAAUUC